UACGUAGGGGUCUAGCGUUGUCCGGAAUUAUUGGGCGUAAAGAGCUCGUAGGCGGUUCGGCAAGUCGGAUGUGAAAUCUCCACGCUUAACGUGGAGGGGCCAUUCGAAACUGCCGUGACUCGAGUCCGGUAGGGGAGUGCGGAAUUCCCGGUGUAGCGGUGAAAUGCGCAGAUAUCGGGAGGAACACCAAUGGCGAAGGCAGCACUCUGGGACGGUACUGACGCUGAGACGCGAAAGCGUGGGGAGCGAACAGG
rnacentral:rRNA from 1 species